UGAGGUGACACAGAUGUUGGAAUAAUCU
rnacentral:piRNA from 1 species